rnacentral:rRNA from 1 species
GAUGAACGCUGGCGGCGUGCCUAAUACAUGCAAGUCGAGCGAACAGACGAGGAGCUUGCUCCUCUGACGUUAGCGGCGGACGGGUGAGUAACACGUGGAUAACCUACCUAUAAGACUGGGAUAACUUCGGGAAACCGGAGCUAAUACCGGAUAACAUGUUGAACCGUAUGGUUCAACAGUGAAAGACGGUCUUGCUGUCAGUUGUAGAUGGAUCCGCGCCGCAUUAGCUAGUUGGUGGGGUAACGGCUUACCAAGGCAACGAUGGGUAGCCGACCUGAGAGGGUGAACGGCGACAUUGGGACUGAGAUACGGCCCAGACUACUACGGGAGGCAGCAGUGGGGAAUAUUGCAAAAUGGGCGGAAGCCUGAUGCAGCAACGCCGCGUGCGGGAGGACGGCCUUCGGGUUGUAAACCGCUUUCGCCUGUGACGAAGCGUGAGUGACGGUAAUGGGUAAAGAAGCACCGGCUAACUACGUG